rnacentral:rRNA from 1 species
AGAGUUUGAUCAUGCCUUAGGACGAACGCUGGCGGCGUGCCUAAUACAUGCAAGUCCAGCGGAUUUAUCCUUCGGGAUAAGUUAGCGGCGGACGGGUGAGUAACACGUAGGUAACCUGCCUAUAAGACUGGGAUAACUAUCGGAAACGAUAGCUAAGACCGGAUAACUGGUUUUCUCGCAUGAGAGAAUUAUGAAACACGGAGCAGUCUGUGGCUUAUAGAUGGGCCUGCGGCGCAUUAGCUAGUUGGUAGGGUAACGGCCUACCAAGGCGACGAUGCGUAGCCGACCUGAGAGGGUGAACGGCCACACUGGGACUGAGACACGGCCCAGACUCCUACGGGAGGCAGCAGUAGGGAAUCUUCCGCAAUGGACGCAAGUCUGACGGAGCAACGCCGCGUGAGUGAUGAAGGUUUUCGGAUCGUAAAGCUCUGUUGCCCUAGACGAACAGCAAGAGGAGUAACUGCCUUUUGUGUGACGGUAUAGGAGAAGAAAGCCCCGGCUAACUACGUGCCAGCAGCCGCGGUAAUACGUAGGGGGCAAGCGUUGUCCGGAAUUAUUGGGCGUAAAGCGCGCGCAGGCGGUCAAUUAAGUUGGGUGUUUAAGCCCGGGGCUCAACCCCGGUUCGCAUCCAAAACUGGUUGACUUGAGUGUAGGAGAGGAAAGUGGAAUUCCACGUGUAGCGGUGAAAUGCGUAGAGAUGU